rnacentral:rRNA from 1 species
GAUGAACGCUGUCGGCGUGCCUAAUACAUGCAAGUCGAGCGAACAGACGAGGAGCUUGCUCCUCUGACGUUAGCGGCCGACGGGUGAGUAACACGUGGAUAACCUACCUAUAAGACUGGGAUAACUUCGGGAAACCGGAGCUAAUACCGGAUAAUAUAUUGAACCGCCUUGUUCAAUAUUGAAAGACGGUUUUGCUUUCGAUUAUAGAUGGAUCCGCCCCGCAUUAGCUAAUUGGUUAGGUAACGGCUUACCCAGGCAACGAUGCGUAUCCGAGCUGAGAGGGUGGUCGGCCACCCCGGAAGUGCGACGCGGCCCAGACUCGUCUGGGAGGCAGCAGUAGGGAAUCGUACGCAAGGCGCGAAAGCCUGACGGGGCAACGCCGCGUGAGGGAUGAAGAUCUGGGGAUCGGAAAUGUCUGUUAUUAGGGAAGAAGAAAUGUGUAAGUAACUAGGCGCGUCAUGACGGUACCUAAUCAGAAAGCCACGGCUAACUACGUG